rnacentral:rRNA from 1 species
UGCUGCAUGGCUGUCGUCAGCUCGUGUUGUGAAAUGUUGGGUUAAGUCCCGCAACGAGCGCAACCCUUAUCCUUUGUUGCCAGCGGUCCGGCCGGGAACUCAAAGGAGACUGCCAGUGAUAAACUGGAGGAAGGUGGGGAUGACGUCAAGUCAUCAUGGCCCUUACGACCAGGGCUACACACGUGCUACAAUGGCGCAUACAAAGAGAAGCGACCUCGCGAGAGCAAGCGGACCUCAUAAAGUGCGUCGUAGUCCGGAUUGGAGUCUGCAACUCGACUCCAUGAAGUCGGAAUCGCUAGUAAUCGUGGAUCAGAAUGCCACGGUGAAUACGUUCCCGGGCCUUGUACACACCGCCCGUCACACCAUGGGAGUGGGUUGCAAAAGAAGUAGGUAGCUUAACCUUCGGGAGGGCGCUUACCACUUUGUGAUUCAUGACUGGGGUGAAGUCGUAACAAGGUAACCGUAGGGGAACCUGCGGUUGGAUCACCUCCUUA